GAUGAACGCUGGCGGCGUGCCUAAUACAUGCAAGUCGAGCGAACAGACGAGGAGCUUGCUCCUCUGACGUUAGCGGCGGACGGGUGAGUAACACGUGGAUAACCUACCUAUAAGACUGGGAUAACUUCGGGAAACCGGAGCUAAUACCGGAUAAUAUAUUGAACCGCAUGGUUCAAUAGUGAAAGACGGUUUUGCUGUCACUUAUAGAUGGAUCCGCGCCGCAUUAGCUAGUUGGUAAGGUAACGGCUUACCAAGGCGACGAUGCGUAGCCGACCUGAGAGGGUGAUAGGCCACACUGGAACUUAGACACGGUCCAGACUCCUACGGGAGGCAGCAGUAGGGAAUCUUCCGCAAUGGGCGAAAGCCUGACGGAGCAACGCCGCGUGAGUGAUGAAGGUCUUCGGAUCGUAAAACUCUGUUAUGAGGGAAGAACAAAUGUGUAAGUAACUAUGCACGUCUUGACGGUACCUAAUCAGAAAGCCACGGCUAACUACGUG
rnacentral:rRNA from 1 species